UCCCUCGCAGCUCGAAUGGACGAGCGCCUGGUUGCGGACCAGGAGGUUGCGGGUUCGAGUCCCGCCGGGGGAU
rnacentral:tRNA from 1 species